rnacentral:rRNA from 1 species
CAGCAGCCGCGGUAAUGCGUAGGUGGCAAGCGUUGUCCGGAAUUAUUGGGCGUAAAGGGCUCGCAGGCGGUUUCUUAAGUCUGAUGUGAAAGCCCCCGGCCCAACCGGGGAGGGUCAUUGGAAACUGGGAAACUUGAGUGCAGAAGAGGAGAGUGGAAUUCCACGUGUAGCGGUGAAAUGCGUAGAGAUGUGGAGGAACACCAGUGGCGAAGGCGACUCUCUGGUCUGUAACUGACGCUGAGGAGCGAAAGCGUGGGGAGCGAACAGGAUUAGAUACCCCUGUAGUCCCUGUCUCUUAUAC